AAAAGUGGAGCUCCUGGCAGGACGCCAGCUGUUCUCCCUCUCACUGACUUGCCCUCUCAGUUUGCCGCGGAGAAAAGAACGUGCUUCCCCUACAGUCUACUAGCACUCAUCUGCUAUCUCCCUACCCUUCCCCCUCUCCUGGAGUGCACAGCCUGACUCAUUAGUCACGGGCCAGGGCCGGAUGUGCUGCAAAAGGUGGGGUAGAUUUUUUUUUUUUUCUCCCCUCCUCUCUCUUUUGUCUCCUUCUGGGCUUGUGCCCCUGUCAUGGACUCAGAUCCAGAGAUAACUCCAUGACGUAUUUAUUUAUGUUAAUAUAAAUUAAUAUUGUAUACAAAUAUAUAUGUUUUCCUUGUGGUAAUGCUGAUGGUUUUGACCCCCCCCCCCUUAGUUUUAUAGAAUAGCAAGUUUUCAUAAUCUGAUGAGUAGAAAUGGAAAACAAAGGGAAAGAAAGUCGUUGGACAGUCAAACAAUUGAUGGAGAAUGGAAAUUAAGAUUUAACUGUGCAGAAGCAACAUGAGGAGAAAAUUAAGCUUUGGGAUGUUAAGCUUUGUUAAGCUUUGGGAUGAGAUGUCUAGGCAGUUUCUUGAGGUUUUACAAGUUUUAACUUUUAUUUAAAGGUUGUUUUUGUUUGUUGUUUUUUAAAUAAGCUGAAAAAAUGGCUUCUUGUUUUUAUAAAAACUAUGAAGUUUUCCUCUGCUCUCAAUUAGAAGACUUGGGGAGCUACAGGAGAGAAGACAGGAGCUUUAGCAGGGUCUGUGGUAAUAGGACUAGGGGAAGUGAUCUCAAACUUGAAGAGGAUACAUUUAGGUUGGAUACAAAAAAAAAAAAAAAAAAAAAAAAAAAAGUCUUUUACAGUGAGGGUGUUGAGGCAUUGGAACAGGAUGUCCAGAGAUGUGAUUGAUGCCCUGUCCCUGGAGACUUUCAAGGCAAGGCACUAAUAACAGCAACACUGAAGACAUAUCUCUUAAAUGUUUCCAUAAAUGACUUUGAGGACUCAAAGGCAUGCCAAGCAAGUCUGAAGAUAACAUUAAAUUGGGAAAAGCACCUAGGAUGAGGAAACUCUAGAUGUAUUCAUAGACUGGAGAAUGAGGCAGGAGGGGAGUCCCAUGGCAAAGGAUCUGGGGGUUCUGGUUGGUGGCAAGAUGAAUAUGAGUCAGUAGUGUGCGCUGGUAGCCAAAAAGGCAAAUCAUACCUCAUGAUGUAUCAGGCAUAUAUCUGCUAGCAGCUCAAGGAUUGUUUCACUCUGCUGUGAGCUGGUGGGACUCCACCUUCAGCAUUAUGCACAGUUUUGUCUGCCACUAUAAGAGAAUAAAGUAUGUAUCAUAUAUUAACAAUUAGAAAGCCUCCAAAGAAGGGCUACAAAAAUGGUGAAGGAUCUGGACAGCAUGAUAAAUGAAAAGUGGCUGAGUUCCCUUUGUUUGUUCAAACCAGAGAAGACAAGAUUGAGGGAAGUGACCUGCAGCUUUCUCAUGAGAGGAGCAGGGAGGAAGAAGCUGAUUCCUCCUUUCUGAUGACAGCAAUAGGACCUCAGGAAAUGUCAUGAAGCUGUGUCAAAAGAGGUUCAAAAUAAAUUUUAGGAAAAGGUUCUUCGCUAAGGUAGCAGUGUCCCACUGGAAUAACUGGCAAUAGUUAUGGUCCCAAACCUACUGGAGUUCAAGGAACAUAUGGACAGUGCUCUUAGACAUACAGUUUGAAUUUUAGGUAGUUUUUUUUUUUUUUGCAAAGCCUAGAAUUUAACUCUGUGAUCCUUGUGAUUGCUUCCAACACAGAAUAUGAUAUUAUUCAAUAAUUCUUUUUGAUAUCGUUGGUCCUUGAAAGCAGAGAAACAGCUUCUGAACAGUUGUGAUACCAGGCAAAGCAUCAUUAAGAAUAACAGUAAUUAUAUAUAGAAAAGUGUUGACUCACCCAACUGGUUUUAAGGCUCUCUGACUAUAGAACACCACUUCACAGGAAAAAAAAAAAAAAAAAAAAAAAAAAAAAAAAAAAAGCCUUCACCCAGGAGACUUUUUCCAUUUAGAAGUUAGCCCUUAAAUAAUCAUGUGAGAAGCACGGGUUAAUUGCUUGCACCCGUGCUUCCUGGGCCAGUUAUCCACUUCACAGGGUGCUCAAUCAUCAUUUCAGAUCAUGACAUAACAGUACACCUGCAGAUAUUAACAACCCAAAUUAUAAUAAAAGACAAAAACAAACAAACAAACAAAACAGCAAAUAAGUCAGCUGAACAAAAACACAGUCUAGGUGUUUGGACAUUCAAUUGAUUUUUUGAUUUUAGGAUUUGUGAACAUGGUAUGGAGAAUUCAAAUAUCCUAACGGCAUAUUUUGAUUAAAAAAAAAAAACAAAAAAAAAAACCUUGCUAAUAAUUAUGUUAUCUGUUUGUAUCCACAUUAUUUCCUAAAUAAUUUCCAAGGUCACUUUUGGUUUCAGACUAAUUCUAGCACCUGAUCUUGUUGAGAAAUUUAUACUUCCAAAACUUACAUUAAACAUAGUAUCUGCAUUAUUUUUAUAUACUGGUACUCAUCUUGAACUCAGCCUGUUAGUACUUCUCACAUAUUAAGCUUAUUGUGAUGCCAGAAUGCUUCUGAUGAGAAUGUAUGUUCGUUCGCUGUUGAACUGUGUAAAGGUAAACUUUGAAUUCCAGUACAUAUUAAAUGUCCCUGAGUGUCUCUUAAGAUAUUCAUUAGCAUUUCAUUGCUAAUCUCAAGCCUUCCCAAAAUCAAAUAAUAGUCUGAUCUGCUACUUCGCACUUAAGGUAAUUUUGGAUGCUUCUGUACACAUGUGAAAAAUGUCAUGAACACUGAACUUUCUAUUACAGCAAAUGAAUUCCCUUUAGACAGUUUGUACUACCUGAAAAAUAUAUUCAGUAUUUCAAACAUCAGAACCUACUCAUUUUGAAUAAUCUAGUCUUUUCACAUUAGCCAACCUUGUGUCAUCCCAUAAGUACUUGCAAUUUUCAGUUUUCUCCUCCAUACUCCUGCAGGGUGGGGGAGUGAGUGUAUGGCUGUGAUUAACCGUCUGCUGGGUAAAGCCACAACAGCUCAGUUUUUUGAAAGAUAGUCAAUUUUGCUGUCUUUGUUUUCUUUAUGCACAUUAUGUUAGAUAUAGAUAUACUGUAUAAAUCACUACAGAUGAGAAAUAUGAGCAUACCAAAGGUGAAUGUUGUAGUAGCAAAUUUCAAAAAUGCAGUUAUAAUUAAACUGAAGCAAACCAAUUAAUUGGCAGAUUUUACAGAAACAACCUCACCUCCACUUCAGUCACAACAGGAUAAAUUAUACAAACUGAAAUCAACUAAUAAUGGAGAAAGCCUGUGGUAUGAUAGAUAUCCAAAUGGCAAAUAGAGAUUAAAGAAUUUUUGUACCCUUUUCUUGGAUGAAGUAAAUUCUUCAAUCAAAUGUUAACUGUUUGUAGGAAAAAAACAAAAAACAAACAAAAAAAAACAGAUGAGUAUUUUAUAUACACACAUUUCUCAACUGAUUUAAAAUCUGCUACAUCAUAGCUGUUUCGUAACUGUCAUAAUACUGUAAGUGAAAUUUUAUAUUAAAUGACAAAGAUCCUGGAAAUCAUUAACACAACAGCUAUGACAAUAUCAAAAUAAAUACUAUUCUUUAUACUGAAAUUUAUGAAGCUGUGUUUCUGAAACAAUACUCAGAGAGCAUCUCUGUGCUCUAUCAGGGCUGUUGAUAAAGAAUGAACUAAAUCUACACUGAACUUCACCAUAAAGACUACGCUUCUUGCAAGAGCACAUGGGUAUCUCCUGUUCUGCAGCACACUGUUAGCUGCUGGUAAGAAAAACAUACCUCUGUAGAAAGUAGUCUAUUGUGAGUGAUUAGUCAUUUAAGUGUGUGGCCUUCUUUUUCUGAUUUUCAGUCUACAACAGUAAAGACUCUUGUUUUAGCACGAGUUCCACAUAAAUAACCUGUACUGUUUUUUUGUUGUUGUUGUUGUUGUUUUGUUUUGUUUUGUUUUUUUGCAUGGUAUUUUUCUCUUAGACCUUCAUUGUGUUACAUGCAUAUAUACACAAAAAAGUUUGCUACAGAGUUUUCUGUAGAGAUCACCACCAGCUGAGAAAGCAUUAGCCUUGUCACUGUCCAGAAUAUACUGUUGCAAAGAGAAACUGCACGUACUCUGGGUUUACUAAUUUAAAGUAAGCAUUAGCUAGUACUCUGAAUCAAAACAUCAUCAUAGAAUAUCACUCUUACUGUCCUCAUCCCAAUUAGUAUUUGAUUACACAUUUCUUUAUUCUAAUACAACAUUCUGCUCCAGUUCAAAUAAAUAAAUCAGACUUCCUUUUCAGUAAUUAACAAAUUGAAAAACAGCAAAUUGCAGCAAAAUGAUUUAUUUCUUUUAGUCAUUGCCCCCAAGAAAUUAUGAUCAAUUUACUGUCCACAGGAGAGCUUACUGUAACUGAAAAGUAUACCUGAGACAUGAAACACAUACAGAUUUUCUCAAAGAAGUUUUACGUCGUCAUGUUCCUCAUUCGUAUGACUUAACAAAAGAGACAGAGAGUCUCUAUGCACUCAAAUCCCUGAACUAUGCACACAAAUUCCUGAACCCCAAUGGGAUGCACCCACGAGUGCUCAGGGAGCUGAAAGAAGUGAUUGCAAAACUGCUCUCAUUUUUAAAGAUCAUGGAGAAUUGGAGGGGUGACUGAAGACUGGAGGAAAACCAAUGUCACUCCAGUCUUCAAAAAAGUGAAGGAGGAAUGAGGAAUCUACAGGCCAGUUAACCUCAACAUUAUCCCCGGGGAGAUGAUAGAACAGCUUAUUUUGAAUGUCAUCUCCAAGCAAGUGGAAGAAAAUAAGCUUACCAGGAGCAGUCAACAUGGAUUCACCAAAGGGAAAUCAUGCUUGACAAAUAUGGUAGCCUUCUAUGAUGUCAUGACUCACUGGGUAGAUGAGGGAAAAGCAGUGGAUAUUCAGCAAGUUUUUUUGUUUUGUUUUGUUUUUGUUUCUGUUUUUCAUAGAAGCAUAGAACAUCUUGAGUUAGAAAGGACCCGUAAGAAUUGUCAAGUCCAAGUCUGGGCUCCUCACAGAACCACCCAGAACUCAGACCAUAUGAUGCAUCUGGAACUCUGUCAGCUUGAGGCUGUGACCACUUCCAUGGGGAGCCUGUUUUUUAUCGGUGUCCUCGUACCAAUUCCUGUGACCUGAUAUCCAUGCCCUAGUAGCAGCAUGGAAUUUCAUAUGAUUAAGUAUAGUUUUAGAGUAAGUUUCAUGAACUUCUGAAAAUUGAUUCUGCUGAGAUUUAGAUAACAACAGUAAGCUUAUCUGGGAGGGGUGCAGUCUUCCUCUUCCAUGCUCUCAUAGUAUCUGGAAUAUGACACUGCUUCCAACAAUAUCCUCAUAGGUAAAUUUAGGAAGUGUGGGAUAGAUGAGUGGACAGUAAAGUGCACUGAGAUCAGUAAAGCUCUGAGUGUUGCAAUCAGUGCCCCAGAGCCUAGAUGGAGGCCUGUAGCUAGCAGUGUUUCCCAGGGGUUGGCACUGGGUCCAGUCUUGCAUAAUAGCUUCAUCAGAUGCCUGUCUGAAGGUAGAGAGUGCACCCUCAGCAAGUUAACUGAUCAUACAAAGCUGGGAGGAAUGGCACCUCCAGACAGGUGGCUGUUCAGUGAGACCUGAACAGCCCAGAGGGUUGGAUAGAGAGGAAGCUUAUGAGGUUCAACAAGAUCAAGUGUAGAGUCUUGCAUCUGGGGAGGAGUCAUUUCAUGAGUCUGUAAAGGUUAGAGGAUGGCCUGCUGGAAAGGAGCUCUGCAGAGAAGGACCUCGAUUCUUGUGGGCAACAGGUUUGCCAUGAGCCAGCAAUGCACCCUUGUGGCCAAGAAGGCCAAUAGUAUCCUGAGGUACAUUAAAGAGAACACGGCCAGCAGGUUGAGGCAUAUUCUCCAUCUGACCUAUUCUCUCCUUGCAAAGCCACAUCUGGAGUUGUGUGACAAGAUGUGGGCUCCUCAGUUCAAUAAAAACAUGGAACUUCUAGAGAGAAUCCAGCUGAGGGCCACAAAGAUGAUUAGGUGCCUGGAGCAUCUCCUUUAUAAGUAAAGGCUGAGAAACCUUUGAUUGUUCUGCCUGGGGGAGAGAAGAGUGAUGAGGGAUCUUAUCAAUGCUUAUAAAUAUCUAAGGGAUGGGUGUCAGAACAGUGUGGUCAGCUGCUUUUUGGUGGUUCCCAGAGACAGAAUAAAGGGCAGUGGGUACAAACUGCAACAGAGGAAGUUCCAAAUGAACUUCUUUACUUUGGAGGCUACAGAGAACUGGAAGAAGCUGCCCAAAGGAGUUGUGGAGUCCUUUUCUCUGGAGAUAUGCAAAACCCCCCUGGACACUUUCUUCUGCAACCUACUGUAGAGAACCUGCUUUAGCCAGGGGAUUGGACUAGACGUUCUCCAGAGGUCCCUUCCAAUCCCUAUGAUUCUCUGGUUCUGUGUUAGAUUCACCUUUAUCAGAUGUGUAUCACCAGUUUGAUGAUCUCUCAAACAAAAUCUGUCAAAUGACAACAUAAUUUACAGUGAUAACAUAUGAAAUACCUUGUGACCUCAAUUGGUUUUCUUUGACUAUAAGUUUAACUAGAAUUCAAAUAAACCACCAGGAAACUCUCGUAUCUUUUUAGAGAUUUACCUAUUGCAAAAAAAAAAAAAUGACCUCCUGCUCAACUGUUCUGAUAUAUGCAUAUUAGAGAGUGUCUUUAAGAUAUUUUGAAGACUAAAAAUAUGUAUAUUUACUGUAGAGUUUUUGUAUAUCUUUUUGUUAUUAUCAAAACAAUAAAAAAAUACACAUUCCCAUUUCCAGGUACAAUUUAGAAUAUAAAGCAAGAAAGAAACUAUGUAUUUGAGGAAAUUAAGUGUUAUACAGUACAGAAUCUGGUACAGAAUUGGCACUCUGCAGAAGUCAAGAAUAAUCUCAAAACAUCACAAAAAAAAAAAGAAAAGAAAAAAGAAAAAUAAUAUUUACAAAGUUUUUUGUUUACAGUUUUGCAGUUUAACUUGCGUGCUAAGAAGUAUCGAAUCUAUAGAAAAAAAACGUUUUUACUCUGACCUCUUUCUACAUUGUUUCUGGCUUGUUUGCUUUGUUUAUUUAAAGCACAUCAUACAGACAGCUGAAAGUAGAUCAGUAAACUGUGAAAUGUCUCUGACAGUAUAGUAGGAAGUUCAUUUGAUGUAAUAAGUUGGAGUUGAAAGGUGGUUUUAUAUUUUUUCCUGAAUAUGAACAACUAUUGCCAGUUGCAACUAUUGAGCAUAUGGCUAACCAUUUUUUAUGAAUUUAAUAUCUUUGAUCUGAGAAUAUAUUUCAUCUACAAGAGAAGAAAUCAGACAUAAACAUUAGCUGCAGAAAAAAAUGUGACAGCUUGGUUUAGGGUGGUAAAUAGAAAUUUAUUCUCACACACACACACACACACACACAAAAGAUAAAUAUAAAGCAAGAUGUGCAUCUCUCAAUAAUUUCUUAAGGAAGAAAACACCAUUCCAGUGAUAAAUGAAGUCUUGCUUGCUUAACUGUUGAAUACUAUCAGUUUGUAAAACAGAGAUAGGUAGUGAAGUCUGUGUACAAGACAUUCCUGAAAGCAUUGUUAUUUUACUCUGAACUAUAAAUGUUAAAGUCUUAAUUAAAGAGCUAUGAAAAAGGUGUGAUAUGCUGAAUUAGUUGAUGAAUUGCUUGUUUGAUUAAAGUAUAAUUAAACAGAUUUGUUUUUAUUUCAUAUUCCAUAAAUGAUAAAUGACUCUCAAACUAGUUCCAUAAUUAAGAUACACAUAUAGUAAGUGAAGAGAUUAAUGUUUAAUUAACUAAGGUCUUAACUAUAAUACUUGAGGCGAUAUUCAUUAAGGAAAAUCUACAGUAGUUAUGCUGGGCUGACAGUUUUUUUUUUUUAUGGAGCUUUUGUAUCAAAGAUAUUGUGUAUGAAGAACUAGGAUAAUUUCUGGAACAGCCACAGGGCUUUUUCUUCAAAGAGGUCAUUCAUAGGUAUAGAUUUUUACUUUUUAUAAAUUAUACAUCUGUGCUGAUGAAAAUUUACUGAUUCUAACACUGGGUACCUUAGAUAGCUCCUUGAUCAAAUUAAUCUUGACCAUGAUUAUAUAACUGAAAUAAGAUAAUAUUGAAUUCACUUUUUUUUUUGAGUAAAGGUGAAGAAAUGAUAAAUUCAGUAAGAAUUUUGAAAUUUGGUUUCAUCGUGGUUCAAAAUGAAACCUAAGCAUCAUUCUCUACAAAAGUAAUUUUUUUUUUUGUUGUACUGUAUGGAAACUGUUGAAUCACAGCUUGAACCACUGAUUGACCACCUGAGGCGAGCACUGAGUCAGCUGCAGGGGCACAGAUGAACACAAUUUCACCUGAGUCACCGGAAGGGUUCCAGGCACCUGUCCAGAAGAGAAGAAGAACUACAUACCCCAGGGGGCUUUGUGGUCAGAGAGGAGAUACAACCUCUGGAAAAGUCAUCUGUUGUCUCUUUCUUCUCUCGGCUCUCAUCCUGACCACACGCGUCGCCUCAGCACUACUAUAAGGCCUAUGGCUUUCAGAUACUCUUUCUCUCAUUAUAUUUGAUUUAUUAGCUUCAAUUCUAAUUACAUUGUAUUAUAGUGUGUUACCUUGCAUUCCAAUACCAUAUUUAGUAAAUUAGUUUGUUUCUCCUCAGAUCAUUGCUGCUGGCUUUUUAAAUUAUUUUGGGGUCCCCUGUUUCCCUUUCCUGGAGGCGUGGAUUUUGUGAAAUCCCUCUGCCCUGCUAGUCAUGGAACUGGGCCGAACCAGCCCAUAAACCGUCAACACAUAGUUACAGAAUAGCCUUAGAAAGCUAAUAUUGAAAUAAUUUCAGUUCCAGGUGCAAUGUCUGACAGAAGCAGUGCAGAUUGAGAGUACAAGGAAAAGAAUAGAUACAGCAAUGUUUUCCUAGACACUUACAUUCUUCCAAAUUUUAUGAUCUGUAAUUCAAAGCCGUCUUGACCCAGAAAUGAUUUUUUUUUUUUUUUUACUAUUUAAUAGGACAUAAAGCAUUUUUCUUGAAAAAAUCUAUCCAAAACAUCUUUAAACACGUGUAAACUUCUAGUGCACAAAAUGUCCUGUGGCAAAUAAUUCAAUGGCUUAACUAUGCUUUGUGUGAAUAAAAUAUUUUUCUUGUUGAUUCUGAAUCUAGCAGCUUUCAUCUUUCACUGCAAAAGAGAGUAAGCAAAAUUUUUCCACUCACACUCCCAUAGAAUCAUAGAAUGGUUUGGGUUGAAAUGGACCUUUAAGAUGAUUUAGUUUUGACAACCCCCCUGCUAUAGGAGGGAGACCUCCCUCUAGACCAGGUUGCUCAAAGACUUGGACUUGUUCCACCAUUACCAUGGGACAGAAACCACUCCUCACACCCUCACCUAGAGCCUCAUGGUCCUGGCAGACAUGGGAAGCCUGACCACCUGUGAAGACUGAGGCAAAGCACUCACUGAGUACCUCAGCUUUUCCUAUGUCUGAGGAAGCCAGCUCCCCAUUACCUUUCAUCAGAGGGGGAACACUCUCCUUGGCUUGUCUCCUCCUUCCUAGGUAUCUGUAAAACCCCUUCUUGUUAUCUUUCACAUCCCUCACCAAGUUCAGCUCCAUCUGUGCCUUGGCUUUCCUCAUCCUAUCUCUACACACAGGGACAACCGCCCUGCAUUCCUCCCAGGAUACACAACCCUGCUUCCACUUCCUGUACAUCUCCCUCUUUUCUCUCAGUUUAAGCUACAGGUCCUUGCACAGCCACAACGGUCGCCUGCCUCCCCUGCUUGACUUCUUCUGCUGGGGGAUGGAGAGCCAUUGCACUCUCAAAAGGGUGUCCUUAAAGAGCUGCCAGCUUUGUUCUGUAUCCAUGCCCUUAAGGAUAGUUUCCCAGGGGAUCCCACUCAGCAGUUUCUCAGGCAGCUGGAUGUUUGCUCUCCUAAAGCACAGGGUCCUAGCUCUGCUUUUUGCCAGGCCCACAUUCUUCCAGAUCACAAACUCCACCAAGGCAUGGUCACUACAGCCCAGGCUGCCUCCAGUCUUAACCUCUCUAAUGCUCUCCUCUGCAUUAGUGAGCACCAGGUCCAGUAAGGCUUCACCUUGGAUAGGUCCAUCUAUUACCUGGACCAGGAAGUUGUCCUCGACAGACUCCAGGAAUCUCCUGGAUUGUCUGCUGCCUGCCAUGUCACCAUCCCAGCAGAUAUCCAGGUAGUUGAAAUCCCCCAUCAGGACAAGAGCCCACGAGUGUGACACCUCCUGCAGCUGAAACAAGAAGGCCUUUUUCACAGCCUCUUCCUGAUCAGGUGGCCUGUAACAGACCCCAACCACCAGAUGCUCUUUACUGGAUGGAUCCUUGAUUUUUACCCACAAGCUCUCAGCCUGACUGUGGCUGUUCCUCAGACACAGCUCUUUGCAAUCGAUCCACUUCCUAACAUAGAGGGCAACUCCACCACCCCUCCUACCCUGUCUAUCCCUUCUGAAAAGCCUGUAGUCCUCAAUCAGGGUAUUCUAAUCAUGCAAUUCAUCCCACUGUGUUUUCAUGAUAGCAAUUAUGUCAUACUUUCCCAAUUGUGCCACGGUUUCUAGCUCCUCCUGUUUAUUUCCCAUGCUGCACACAUUGAUAUAGAGGCACUUCAGCUUAGCUAUUGGUCUCAUUGCCUUCUCAGAGGGGCCCUCCCUAAUACCUUCAGGACAAGCCUGGGGUUUUCCCUUACCACCUCCCAAGGUGACAGUGUUCCAACAUGCUUCUCUGUCUCCUAGUACACCCCCUUCCCCCAUCAUGUCUAGUUUAAAGCCCUGCUAACCAGCUGAGCCAGCUUGUUCCCAAGAAUAUUUGUGGCCCCUCUAGUCAGUUGGCUCUCAUCCACUGUCAGCAUUCCCCCUUUCUCAAGGCUGCGUCCCAAGCCAUAGUACCCAAAGCCCUGAGCAUGACACCAUUUGCAAAGCCAUUCAUUCAGUGUGUCCACCCUCUUCCUUUUGUGCAGAUCCCAGUCACCAACUGAGAGGACAGAGGAGAACACAACUUGUGCUCCCAAUCCCCUUAGAAGUCUUCCCAGAGCCCUGAAGUCCCUUUUGAUUGCCCAAGGACUUCUUUUGCCUACCUCUUCCUUUCCAAUGUGAAAAACCAGUAAUGGAUAAUAAUAAUCAGAGGGCUUAAUGAAGUGAGUGAUGUUCCUAGCACCAUCUCUCACCUGGGCACCAGGCAGGCAACACACCUUCCUGUGGGAUGGAUCCAAGCGGCAUAUUGGGCCCUCGGUUCCCCUCAGAAGGGAGUCCCCUAUGAUGACAUCCCUUCUUUUUUUCCUGACUGACAUAGCAAAACAGCAAGCAGACUGACUAGCAUUGGUCAACCUCUCCUGCACAGAUGGAUUUUCACCAACAUCCACAGCCCCCAGUCCCUCCAGCUCCAGAGCCUCAUACCUGUUACGUAAGGGCACCUGGGAAGGUGGGACAGGCUGAGGGGCAGUCCACUUGUUGCCCCAAACAGGGACUUGUUUCCAUCCCUUGCUGCAUUUGAGGUCGUCCCCUUCCCACCUGACUGUGAGACAGCAGAUGAUCCCCCACUGCUUGAAGAGCAUCUUCCCCCACACCCUUCCUGUAGGGAUGGCAGAGUGCAACUCCAUCAACCAAUCCCCUUCUCACAAUCCCAGAUGCUCCUUAGCCUUUCUAUUUCCUCCUUUAGCUCUACCACCAGGCUGAGCAGAUCCUCCACCUGCUCACACCGCACACAGGUGGUAUCCCGGCUGCCCUCCUGUACCAGUGACAGGACCAGGCAUUCUCCACAGCCUGAGACCUGAACUGCAGCAUGGACAUUCAUGCUUUCAGUCUGAGUCUCCACGUUCCUUUAGCAACAGCUCACCUCCAUAUGGUGACCAUGGUUGAAACUUGGUGUGUCCAGAGAGCAUUGACCUGUUAAGUGACCUGUUAAGUGCUAAGUGCUAAGCCCCUCCUAUACAGCAAGGUGCCCCGCCCUGCCUGCUCACUGAUUCGCUUGGGGUUUGCCCUGAAAAUCACUCUCAACAAGAUAACAACUCACCUCCCUGUGUAGCCAUGCAAAUAGGUGGCUUACUGUUUCAACCUCAGCCCUCUGGUCAUCUUCUUGGCCCUCCUCUGGACCCACUCCAACAGCUUGAUGUCCUUCUUGUGUUGGGACCCUAGAAAUGGAUGCAGUACUCUAGGUGGGGUCUCAGAAGAGCAGAGUAGAGGGACAGAAUCACCAAUCUCGACCUGUUGGUUGCACUUCUCUUGAUGCAACCCAGGAUACGAUUGGCCUUCUGGGAUGAAAGUGCAAAUUGCUGGCUUUUAUCAGCAGUUUGCCACUAUUCUUUCAGCAAGUGACACCCGCAAAUCCUUCUCAGGGCUGUUCUAAAGCCUUUCUAUCCCCAGCAUAUAUCUGUGCUGGGACUUGCUCCAACCCAGGUGCAGGAUUUUGCACACGGGCACUCAACAUUUAAUAAACAUCUGUUUUCAAGCUUGUAGGAAAAAAAAAAAAAAAAAAAAAAAAAAAAAAAAAAACUGGUACAGAUAAACUCUUAUUAGUACUAUUUAGCAUCUAAUUUAUUUACCUGUGCUGUAAAAGCAUCACAUAAAACAAAAUUGUUUCCUCUAAUUUUCAUCCAGAAACAUUCUGUCAUGAAGAGGGAAAAAAGUAUCCGUAUAGAUCUUACAGCACAAAUGAAUUCUCCUUCCCAUAGACCACUGGCCAUAGGGAGAUCUAGCUACUCACUCUUCGUUUUUAUAAGGUUUCAGAACACAAAACCAUGAAAAACAUAUCCUGCCUGUAUGUCUCUAUGUAUUUUUCUGAUCUUAAAUUGCUUAUCUGGUCAGAUGCACAAAGUACUUAAAAUUGCCUGUUUAAUCUGUUUAUUUAUUUUUCUCUUGUUUCUUAUUAUUUCAGUCUCCCAUAAUUAUUUUCUAUUCUUUUAAUUGCAUGCCAGUCUUCCUGUGUAUGAGGGCUGCUCUGAAAUUAAUGCCUCCUAUUUCAUUAUGUUGGCCCACAGCAUCAGAAGCAGAUGUUGGUGGUUUGACAGUAGAGGUUGAGCCUUCCAACCAAUAUUCCAUUACAUUUGUUGCUGCAUGACAGAUGGCGGCAGAGGGGUAGUCUGACAAGCUGAUAUCUGAUAUGGGCAUGCAUAUGAAGCAAAGGUGUGUCAUUGAAUUCCUCCACGCAGAAAAACUGGCACCCAUAAACAUUCAUUGACAUUUGCUGAACAUUUCUGGAAACCAAGCAGUGGACGUUAGCAUAGUGAGAUGGUGGGUGGUGCAUUUCAGCAGUGGCAACACAGACGUGAAAGGCAAGCCACGUUCUAGAUAGUUAUGUAGAUAUUCAUGAGUGUGGCAUACAGGCUCUGUUCAUCAUGGGUGAAAAUGCAAAGCUGUUGACUAUCUUAAAAAAUAGUAUUUACUAGCUGAGACUUUGUGCUAUCAAAUAAUGCUAUUUUGUCCUUUAUAUAUAUAUAUAUAUAUAUAUAUAUAUUUUUCCCCCAUGGAAAUAAAUAAGCAUUACUUUCAGAACAAUCUACAUAAUUUUAACCCAGUGGAAGACAAACAUAAAGACACAUAUUUUUUUCCUUUUCUUAUAUGUUGAUCAUUGCUGCUUAUUAAAAGCUAGAAAUAACUUACUUCAAUAUUACUCUUCAAGGUUACUAAAAACCAAAACACCACCAUCACACACAAACUCUGUUUUUGUCUUCAUCAUGUAAAAGUUGAUGCACAUGACAUGCAUGAACUUGAGCAAUUACUUCAUAUAGAAACCAUAUUAAUUAACAGAACCCUACAAUUCUGCGGUUUAUGUUUUGAGUUAUUGAUCACAUGAUUUUGCUCACAUGCUCACUAUGAAUUGCCCAGUAUAUCCAGAGAUGCUUUGACUGAUGCUUGCAUAAGUCCUCUGAUAUAUCUCCAGAAGGAUUUCAUAUGUAUCACAGUAAAAGAUUUAAAAAAAAAUAAAAAAAUAAAAAAAUAAAAGUCAAGAAGAUAAUUUUGCUUGCAUUGCUCUGAUUUCAGCUGGCAAAGAGGUUUUUUUUAUUGUUUUGUUUUGUUUGUUUUUCCCCAUAAUGUCUGGUAUAGCACACCGAUGUUUUAGCUGUUCAGUGGUGUUGCACAGAGCCAAAGAUAUUGCAGCUUCUUGACUUGUUCUUCGCUGCCAGUGAGAAAGUCUAAGAGGGUACAAGUAUCUGGGAAGGGACAGAACCAGGACAGCUGACCUAAGAUGGCCAAAGGGCUAUUUCAUACUGUAGAACAUCUAGUGAAAAACUAUAAAACUAAGAGAAGUUAACCAGGGGGAAGGGAGUAGAAGACUGCUGCUGAUCCUGACCAGCUGGGUAUUGGUCAGCA
ensembl:lncRNA